UACGGGGGGGCAAGCGUUGUUCGGAAUUACUGGGCGUAAAGGGCUCGUAGGCGGCCAACUAAGUCGGAUGUGAAAUCCCCAGGCUCAACUUGGGAACUGCAUCCGAUACUGGAUGGCUUGAAGUCCGGGAGAGGGAUGCAGAAUUCCAGGUGUAGCGGUGAAAUGCGUAGAUAUCUGGGAGGAAUACCGGUGGCGAAGGCGGCAUCCUGGACCGGCAUUGACGCUGAUGAGCGAAAGCUAGGGAGCAACGGG
rnacentral:rRNA from 1 species